ensembl:lncRNA
GUGAAUCCCAAUGAAUAGCUGCUGGGAUAUUAACAAUGCCAUCACAAUUAUGCUCAUCCUUUUGGAUUGUAAAGAUCCCAAAGGUGGAGAGGUUUGCUGGUGCUAUGCUGUUGGGUUGAGAAGUUCUACCCGGACAAAGUCCAUCUCGAGUGGUCGAGAAACAAUUGGGAGCAGGUGUAUAGCGUGUGGAGUAAAAUCGAGUUGACCAUGGCUCAGGAGAACAAGAGGGCGGUCUACACGUGCCACGUGUAUCACUCCAGUUUCUCUGGGCCAGUAUACAAAAGACGUUGUUGAUCAUAUCAACACACAAGGCACCCCUAUGAAUGUGAUAUUUAUUAAGUGUGAGCCACUACGCCCUCUGCAGGAUGAGGAGUGCACGCUCAACUUCUGUGUCCUGAACAAGUGUCGGGUCAGCUGGCAUAAGGACGGACCGAGGGUCCCUGCUGGCCAGGUUUUCAACUCACCGCCCAGCCUGAACGUCAACGGCCUGUACUCUAUGUGGAGCUUCCUCAAACUGAGUCCCACCACGGAGGACUAUGUCUCAGAGUUCAGGUGCCGUGGAGAGAGUGUUCACACUGUCAGAUAUCAUAGGCACAUAAUAAUAAUACUUUUGUGGGUGCUUAUAUUUGUCCUAUUUCACGCAUGUACAAGUGUGUAUUAUACCAAUGUGUGAAUAGGAUUUUUUUUUUUUUUGUCCCUGAGACACCCUCGGAGAGUGUGGUCACAGCCCAUAGGCC